CUCCUAAAAACCAAAAAUAGAAUCCCUAAAAUUUUCCCAAUACGUAUGCUUGCUUCUCUGUGUCAUCUUUCUCAUCACGUUGAGCUAGCUGUUCUACGCUUGUUAUUACUAGGCGCCUCUCAGGAAAGACUUGAUGAUGAAGAUCAACCUUAUGAUGAUGAAGAGACUGAAUGAUGUUACUUACAUGGAUGGAUGACUAGCUAUGCAUAAUAUUCCUAGAUGACACUUUAUUUUGAAAUUUAGAAAUUUUAUGUAAACUUUGACAUCUUUGGAUGAUUUUAUUUGGAGUUUUAUGCUUUUGAAUUGUCA